GUCCUGAAAUAAUGUUAGAAAGGAACAGACAGACCAAAUCUUGUUAAUACUUUGAAAUAUAUUUGUUGGAAUAACAUUUGAUAAAAUUUGAAAGAUUUUAAUUUUUGCAAUUAGUCUUUCUAUAUGAACACGAUGCUUUGCAAUUUUAAGUGUCUGUCUGGUAUCAGCAGCUGACAUUUGUGCUCCGCUGGCACCAAAUGGUGGAAUAUUCAACUUUAAACCAAUAUUUUUCAGUUCCUUUUCUAUUGUAAACCCUUUGUCGGCCAUAACUGCAUCACCCUCUUCUAUUAUACCUUUUGCCUUCAAGGAACUUAACAGUUCAUAAAAUCCACUUUGUUCAGUUAUAGCCUUAUCUGAAAUGGAUCCAGUAAACAACUCGGAAAUAAAUAUAACAGAACCACUCGGAUCACAUCCUAUAAGGGCUUUCAAUGUUGUUUGAUUUGUAAUCACUAUACAACUGACUCUGAAUUCCAAGGGCGCAUGGUGAUUGUGUCUUAAAUUCUGUACCAUCAAUUAUAACCAGUGACUUAGGAAAAUCUUUUCUGUAUUCCUUUGGCAUUUUUUCUAUAAUAGCAUUCCUAUGCGGCCAAAUUGAUAAUGUGCCAAACUUUAAAUACAUGUGAUCAAUCCAUGUAUUGAAUAGGCUGCUUGCAGAUUGUGUACUGAUUUCAAAUCUCAUGGCUAUAUCCUUGAGCCCGAAGUUGUGUCGAAGACGGACUAAAACAAGAAAAAGACUAUCAAUUUGAAACAAUUUUUUUCAAAUCUGUCCUGCCUUUCUCAUACUCGAGGGAGAAGUCUGGUGGAAUUAAAAAAAGAAAAUAAUGCCAAGAAUCGAACAUAUGUUAUCGCUGUGUAGUACUUGAACAGCCCCUUAAUUUUUUCUUCUUUGACUCUAACACUUUCUAUGCCAAAUCUGCUUCUUUCGGCUAACUGUUCUUUCAGUGUUUUAUUUUCUUCCUUUAGGAUGACUACAGAUUCCUUAUGGUUUCUUAUUUCCUCAUUCCUUAAAAU
rnacentral:lncRNA from 1 species